CAGAGCUAUGGGCUUGUUUUUGGGAUCAACUGCAGCUUUUUUUAAGCCUUUCAAUUCAAGUUUCAUAACAAUCAAGGCAGGGUUUCAAACUGUUGUGAGCUCAUCUACACAGAGAUUGGCAUUGGUGCGUCCUACCAAGUGGAGGUGUUGAUGAAGUGUAGGAUUGCUGAAGGAGGGCCCAAGACUUUCUCCACUCCAAGGAAGGAUGAACAUUCUCCAGCUCCGCAAGUGUUUCCCUCAAUAUAAACAGCCUGUGAUUGUUGCCUGCGUCUAAACAAGUAUUCAAAGAGGAGAUUUAUCCAAGCUGAUAGAUUAAAGAUGGAAAAAUUAAAUCCAAAAGUAAAAAAAAUAUUUGAGACACAUUAAACUGUAGUCAUCGUUAAGUUUAUGACGCUGUAUGAAGAAUGUAACAUAGCCAUUGGAACUAGAUUUUAAGGAUUUUUGCUAGGAUAGCAGACUUGAUGACUGGGAAAGAGUCUCUGACAGAUUUUACACUAUACGCACGCCAAGAAACUAUAAGAGUUAUUUUCUACCUUGGUCGGAUAAAAUAAAAUACUGUCAUAAAAUUGUGUUAGGCUUACAUUGGACUGUUAAAUCAUUACGGGUGGUAUAUUUUACUGUUAACUGACCACCCAAUCAAGUUUGUAAAAUGUUUUUACCUAAGUAUAUUUUUCUGUAGUGUUUCAAUAAAGUGUUUUUGAUACAAA